UCCUCGUUAGCUCAGUUGGUAGUGCGCUCCACUGGAAAUGGAGAGGUCUCUGGUUUGAUAUCAGUACCAGGUG
rnacentral:tRNA from 1 species